UACAGAGGUCCCAAGCGUUGUUCGGAUUCAUUGGGCGUAAAGGGUGCGUAGGCGGCGCGGUAAGUCGGGUGUGAAAUCUCGGAGCUUAACUCCGAAACUGCAUUCGAUACUGCGGUGCUUGAGGACUGGAGAGGAGACUGGAAUUCAUGGUGUAGCAGUGAAAUGCGUAGAGAUCAUGAGGAAGACCAGUGGCGAAGGCGGGUCUCUGGACAGUUCCUGACACUGAGGCACGAAGGCCAGGGGAGCAAACGGG
rnacentral:rRNA from 1 species